GACAUAGAUGGUCGAAGCGCGCA
rnacentral:siRNA from 1 species